UACGUAGGGUGCGAGCGUUGUCCGGAAUUAUUGGGCGUAAAGAGCUCGUAGGCGGUUUGUCGCGUCGACUGUGAAAACCCGAGGCUUAACCUCGGGCUUGCAGUGGGUACGGGCAGACUAGAGUGCGGUAGGGGUGACUGGAAUUCCUGGUGUAGCGGUGGAAUGCGCAGAUAUCAGGAGGAACACCGAUGGCGAAGGCAGGUCACUGGGCCGCAACUGACGCUGAGGAGCGAAAGCAUGGGGGAGCGAACAGG
rnacentral:rRNA from 1 species